rnacentral:rRNA from 1 species
UCAAGCUAGUAAGGGCAUACGGUGGAUGCCUGGGCGCUAAGAGGCGAAGAAGGGCGUGGUAAGCUGCGAAAAGCCUCGGGGAGCCGCAAGCAGGCGUUGAUCCGGGGAUACCCGAAUGGGGCAACCCACCUGGAGUAAUAUCCAGGUACCCUGUACUGAACCCAUAGGUACAGGGGGCGAACCGGGGGAACUGAAACAUCUUAGUACCCCGAGGAAGAGAAAGCAAACGCGAUUCCCCUAGUAGCGGCGAGCGAAGAGGGAAGAGCCCAAACCUUAUGCAUGUAGAAGGCUGCAACCGUUGUGCAUAAGGGGUUGCGGGGCUUCCGGGAGCAGUUGCAGAUGCUCGACGAAAGCGAAGGCUGUAGGAGAACAGGACUGGAACGUCCGGCCAUAGGGGGUAAGAGCCCCGUAUCCGAAACGGCCUAAAGCUUUCGGGAAGGACCCCAAGUACCACGGGACACGAGGAAUCCCGUGGGAAUCCGGGAGGACCACCUUCCAAGGCUAAAUACUCCUUAGCGACCGAUAGCGCACUAGUACCGUGAGGGAAAGGUGAAAAGCACCCCGGGAGGGGAGUGAAAUAGAACCUGAAACCGUAUGCCCACAAGCAGUCAGAGGGCGUUAAAGCCUGAUGGCGUACUUUUUGUAGAACGGGCCGGCGAGUUACGUUAACGAGCGAGGUUAAGGGGAAGACCCGGAGCCGGAGCGAAAGCGAGUCUGAAAAGGGCGUUAGUUCGUUGACGUAGACCCGAAACCGGGUGAUCUACCCAUGGGCAGGGUGAAGCGGGAUUAAACUCUCGUGGAGGCCCGAACCGACCGGCGUUGAAAAGUCGGCGGAUGACCUGUGGGUAGGGGUGAAAUGCCAAUCGAACCCGGAGAUAGCUGGUUCUCCCCGAAAUAGCUUUAGGGCUAGCCUCAAGGAAAGACUAACGGAGGUAGAGCACUGAUAAGGCUAGGGGCCUUACCAGGUUACCGAACCUUUUCAAACUCCGAAUGCCGUUAAGUCAACCUUGGGAGUCAGACUGCGGGUGCAAAGAUCCGUAGUCGAGAGGGAAACAGCCCAGACCAACAGCUAAGGUCCCCAAAGACGGGCUAAGUGGAGAAGGAUGUAGAGUUGCUUAAACAACCAGGAUGUUGGCUUAGAAGCAGCCAUCAUUUAAAGAGUGCGUAAUAGCUCACUGGUCGAGUGACUCUGCGCCGAAAAUGUAGCGGGGCUCAAGCCCGUUACCGAAGCUUUGGAUCCCGCGAGGGAUGGUAGGGGAGCGUUCUGCAGGCAGCGAAGGUGUACCGGAAGGAGCGCUGGAGUCUGCAGAAGUGAGAAUGCCGGCAUAAGUAAGCGAGAAGGCAGGUGAGAAUCCUGCCCGCCGAAAACCUAAGGGUUCCUGGGGAAGGCUCGUCCACCCAGGGUAAGUCGGGACCUAAGCCGAGGCGAAGAGCGUAGGCGAUGGGCAAUCGGUUGAAAUUCCGAUACCACCAAAGAGUCGUUAUUAGGAUGGGGUGACGCAGGAGGGUAGGCACAGCGCACGAUUGGAAGAGUGCGUCCAAGCCUGUAGGGCGUGAGGUAGGCAAAUCCGCCUCACAAAGAGCCUGAGAGGUGACGGGGAGCGAAAUUAAGUAGCGAACUGGCUGAGCCCAAACUGCCGAGAAAAGCCUCUAACGAGACUCUAGGUGCCCGUACCGCAAACCGACACAGGUAGGUGGGGAGAGGAUCCCAAGGCGCGCGAGCGAACCUUCGUUAAGGAACUCGGCAAAAUGACCCCGUAACUUCGGGAGAAGGGGUACCCCGUUAGGGUGACAGUAGAGCAUACUGGAGCCCGAGGGGGUCGCAGAGAAGUGGCCCAAGCGACUGUUUACCAAAAACACAGGUGCCUGCUAAAGCGCAAGCUGAAGUAUAGGUGCUGACGCCUGCCCGGUGCUGGAAGGUUAAGGGGAAGGGUUAGUCGAAAGGCGAAGCUCUGAACCGAAGCCCCAGUAAACGGCGGCCGUAACUAUAACGGUCCUAAGGUAGCGAAAUUCCUUGUCGGGUAAGUUCCGACCCGCACGAAAGGCGUAACGAUUUGGGCACUGUCUCAACGAAGGGCUCGGUGAAAUUGUAGUACCCGUGAAGAUGCGGGUUACCUGCGAUAGGACAGAAAGACCCCGUGGAGCUUUACUGUAGCCUGACAUUGGGUUUUGGUGCUUCAUGUACAGGAUAGGUGGGAGGCAGCGAACCACUGCCGCCAGGUAGUGGGGAGCCGACGGUGGGAUACCACUCUUGAAGCACUGAAAUUCUAACCCGAGUCCGUAAACCGGACUGGGGACCGUGUCAGGUGGGCAGUUUGACUGGGGCGGUCGCCUCCUAAAAGGUAACGGAGGCGUCCAAAGGUUCCCUCAGCGCGGUUAGAAAUCGCGCGUAGAGUGCAAAGGCAGAAGGGAGCUUGACUGCGAGACCGACGGGUCGAGCAGGGACGAAAGUCGGGCUUAGUGAUCCGGUGGUCCCGAGUGGAAGGGCCAUCGCUCAACGGAUAAAAGCUACCCCGGGGAUAACAGGCUUAUCCCGCCCAAGAGUCCACAUCGACGGCGGGGUUUGGCACCUCGAUGUCGGCUCAUCGCAUCCUGGGGCUGAAGUAGGUCCCAAGGGUUGGGCUGUUCGCCCAUUAAAGCGGUACGUGAGCUGGGUUCAGAACGUCGUGAGACAGUUCGGUCCCUAUCCAUCGCAGGCGGAGGAAACUUGAGAGGAGCUGUCCCUAGUACGAGAGGACCGGGAUGGACAGACCGCUGGUGUACCAGCUGUCCCGCCAGGGGCACCGCUGGGUAGCCAAGUCUGGAUGGGAUAAGCGCUGAAAGCAUCUAAGCGCGAAGCCCACCUCAAGAUGAGGUUUCCCAUGGCAAAAGCCAGUAAGACCCCUGGAAGACGACCAGGUAGAUAGGCCAGGAGUGUAAGGGGGGUAACCCCUUGAGCGGACUGGUACUAAUCGGUCGAGGGCUUGACCAU